rnacentral:rRNA from 1 species
GACGAACGCUGGCGGCGUGCCUAAUACAUGCAAGUCGAGCGGACAGAAGGGAGCUUGCUCCCAGAUGUUAGCGGCGGACGGGUGAGUAACACGUGGGUAACCUGCCUGUAAGACUGGGAUAACUCCGGGAAACCGGAGCUAAUACCGGAUAGUUCCUUGAACCGCAUGGUUCAAGGAUGAAAGACGGUUUCGGCUGUCACUUACAGAUGGACCCGCGGCGCAUUAGCUAGUUGGUGAGGUAACGGCUCACCAAGGCGACGAUGGGUAGCCGACCUGAGAGGGUGAUCGGCCACACUGGGACUGAGACACGGCCCAGACUCCUACGGGAGGCAGCAGUAGGGAAUCUUCCGCAAUGGACGAAAGUCUGACGGAGCAACGCCGCGUGAGUGAUGAAGGUUUUCGGAUCGUAAAGCUCUGUUGUUAGGGAAGAACAAGUGCAAGAGUAACUGCUUGCACCUUGACGGUACCUAACCAGAAAGCCACGGCUAACUACGUGCCAGCAGCCGCCGUAA